rnacentral:rRNA from 1 species
UACGUAGGCGGAAAAUUAAGUCAGUAGUGAAAUCCCACGGCUUAACUGUGGAACUGUUAUUGAUACUGGUUUUCUUGAAUAUAGUUGAGGUAGGCGGAAUGUGUAAUGUAGCGGUGAAAUGCUUAGAUAUUACACAGAACACCGAUUGCGAAGGCAGCUUACUAAGCUAUGAUUGACGCUGAGGUACGAAAGCGUGGGGAGCGAACAGGAUUAGAUACCCUGGUAGUCC